GUCAUUCCCAAAGAUGUUCUGUGUUGUCCUGAAGUCAAGGGAAGGGGACAAUAGCACUAUCUCAGUGACCACUGACUCAGCACCUUCAGUGUGCCAGCAUGGUGGAGGCUGCGUUUAUGUCUCCACCUGGCAUCCUCAUGGAUGCCUCAAAGCUUUACAAAUGACUAUGACAAGGGUCACUGCUUCCUGCAGGCAGUGCCAGGCGACUGGGGACCAGCUUUGCGGGUCACAGAUGUGCAUCACCUUGGAGCAGGUGAUGCUUUGCUGAGUCCUGGGGCAUGCAUCUCAGGAUGGAUUCAAGUGAAUUGAGACCUGCUGAUCUCUGGGAACAUCAGCCAACACUUGCCCACACUUGCAAGCUUCGCCUCUGCAGAAGCCAGCCUCCGUUGCUACUCUACUCUGUGGGUUGGAGAAGAGGCAGUCCACCUAGCAGGCCGUCGUGGGUGAAGGACAAGUGAAUUCUCUGGGAUUCCACGGUGGACAGGUGCGUCACUCUCGCCUUGCUGUGCAAAACGCCUGACAGACGGAAGUAAGCACACUGGGAGCAGAGAAUGAGACUGGAAGAUGGACACAGGCUGUGACACUCAAAGACUACGUCCCACCUUUUCCCAAAUCAUCAUCAGGUGGAGCCAAAUGCACAAAAUAGGACCCUGUGAGGGACAUUUAGUAUUUAAAUAAUCACAUAUGCCUGGCUUUCUCUGUUUAAAGGUUUUGUUUUAUUGUUAAUUAUGUAUAUGUAUGUUUCUGUAUAUGGGUAUGUGCUUGUAAGUGCUGAUGCCUGCAGGGGCAAGAAAAGGGCACCGGAUC